AUUGAACGCUGGCGGCAUGCCUUACACAUGCAAGUCGAACGGCAGCGCGGGAGCAAUCCUGGCGGCGAGUGGCGAACGGGUGAGUAAUAUAUCGGAACGUGCCCAGUAGUGGGGGAUAGCCCGGCGAAAGCCGGAUUAAUACCGCAUACGACCUACGGGUGAAAGGGGGGGAUCGCAAGACCUCUCGCUAUUGGAGCGGCCGAUAUCAGAUUAGGUAGUUGGUGGGGUAAAGGCAUACCAAGCCUGCGAUCUGUAGUUGGUCUGAGAGGACGACCAGCGCCACUGGGACUGAGACACGGCCCAGACUCCUACGGGAGGCAGCAGUGGGGAAUUUUGGACAAUGGGCGCAAGCCUGGUACAGCAAUGCCGCGUGCAGGAAGAAGGCCUUCGGGUUGUAAACUGCUUUUGUCAGGGAAGAAAUCCUCUAGGCUAAUACCUUGGGGGGAUGACGGUACCUGAAGAAUAAGCACCGGCUAACUACGUGCCAGCCGCCGCCGUAAGAC
rnacentral:rRNA from 1 species